CACACUUCCUGUCCUGCCCCUGGACUUUCAAGCCAAAACUUACAAAACAUCCUUUCCCCUGGAACCAAGUGCUUGCUUCGGGAGACCCACCCCUCCCCACGUCGGUGAUCUCAGCCUGCCCUCCCCUUCCUUCCGCGGAACCUCUCCCACAUGAGAGGCGCUCGGCUUCCCGAGCAGAGAUGCUGGAUCCGGCGUAGCAGGUGAUGCCUGCGGGAGCGAAGCGACCGGGGACCACUGCCCACGAGGCUGAAAUCACCAGGCCUGUUGACCGACUUUCGAAGCAGCAAACGGAGUCAAAAACUGAAGUUAUGAAAAGAAAGCCUCAAAAAAAAAAAAAAAAGAA